GAUGAACGCUGGCGGCGUGCCUAAUACAUGCAAGUCGAGCGAACAGAUAAGGAGCUUGCUCCUUUGACGUUAGCGGCGGACGGGUGAGUAACACGUGGGUAACCUACCUAUAAGACUGGAAUAACUCCGGGAAACCGGGGCUAAUGCCGGAUAACAUUUAGAACCGCAUGGUUCUAAAGUGAAAGAUGGUUUUGCUAUCACUUAUAGAUGGACCCGCGCCGUAUUAGCUAGUUGGUAAGGUAACGGCUUACCAAGGCAACGAUACGUAGCCGACCUGAGAGGCGGGUCGGCCACGCUGGAACUGAGACUCGGUCCAGACUCCUACGGGAGGCAGCAGUAGGGAAUCUUCCGCAAUGGGCGAAAGCCUGCCGGGGCAACGCCGCGUGAGUGAUGAAGAUCUUCGGAUCGUAAAACUCUGUUAUUAGGGAAGAACAAAUGUGUAAGUAACUGUGCACGUCUUGACGGUACCUAAUCAGAAAGCCACGGCUAACUACGUG
rnacentral:rRNA from 1 species